AUGCGAUAAGUAAUGUGAAUUGCAGAAUUCAGUGAAUCAUCGAAUCUUUGAACGCACCUUGCGCUCCCUGGUAUUCCGGGGAGCACGCCUGUUCGAGUGUCACGAAAUUUGUCAAGCUUGGAUGGCCUUUUUUGUCUGUCCAUUAGCCUUGGUUGUUGGGCUUUUGCCGUGUCCUUCAUUGGGACGGCUAGCCUUAAAAGCAUUAGCUGAUCCUUGCGUGGCACUGGUUCUACUCAGCGUGAUAAUACAUCUGAUCGCUGAGGACAUCUUUCAGGAUGGCCAGUCCUCAUUUGGGUUGCUUCUAAACCUGGUUAUGCGGAUUCUUGAAUCUGUGUUCCACUUUUCAGCUUUGACCUCGAAUCAGGUGGGACUACCCGCUGAACUUAA
rnacentral:rRNA from 1 species